UGAGUUGAACACUCUCGCCAGAGCCUUGAGUCACCAUGUAAGCGUUCGACCCAUUUCUGUGGUGGAAACACUCCUAGAAUGGCCAACCUUAAGCUACUCAAGUGGCAAAUGCAGAAUUGAAAAGAGGUGCCCACCACUGGCAUGCGGGCACACGGAGCUGGAGUGGAUCCUGAAACAGGGGGAAAAACACAUAAAAGGAGAACAUUAACAUGGUACCCGAUCGCCCCCUCUCCCCACUGAACACUUUGGUGGUGUUUGCAUGGAUUUGCACUCUUGGUUUCAUUUCCGUUCUUGGUGACUACGUGGAGACCUUUGGCGUGAUUGCCGACUAUCAAGCUAUCAAAAUCUCCUACUGCAGGGCCUCACUGGAAUACAGUUCCUGUAGACCUGAGCAAGUUCACAACUCCACCCACCCCCCCAACCCCAGGAAACUGCUCUUCUAGUUUUCCCUGCUCCUCCUGGCCUUUGGCUUUGGCUCUGGCUUUGGCGGAAGCAAACCAGAGCGGGAGAAGACAGAGCUGGGGCCUUCCAGGGCCACCUUGACAGGAAAUUAAUUCGUGUGGUCACCUUCCUCGCAAGGGUCGUUUGUCUGCGGCUAGAAAUCAACAUCUUGCAUGGAGCUGUGUCUUUGUUGUGCUGGGGAGGUGGGGGGGGGCAGAAACCCCCCUCCCCCAACAGCGAGCCUAGUAGUUGCUCAGGAAAGAACAGUCAGCAAAGGUUCUGGGCUCUUCUCACCACCUUAUCACUAAAUUAUCUCGGGCACACUGCUGCCACACGCUGGAAUUCUGCCACACCAUCUGCAACGCGAGGUGGCCAAACUAGACUCCCUUCCAGAUCUAACACGGUGCAACUGGUUGUAGGCAACUGCGUCCAAAUCUUGCCUUUGUUUCCCUGAAGCCAGCAUCUGUCAGGACGUUUCAAGAGCUCCGAGUUCAGACAUCUUCACGUUUUCCGGAGCCUUCUUACUUUGUGAACGGGCCUUUCAAGAUCCAAGGAGUAAAAGCGCCCCCAAAGUCCGAAGCAGAUAAAAAGCAAUAGCUCCGCCAGACAAGAAGAAAGUUGUGUGUAUGUUUUCUCUCCUCUCUCUCUCAUCAGGGCAACUUCUGACUGAUUCAAACAUUUGUUACACUUUUCCUGGAAACUUAAAAGUUUAGUUUGGAAUACAGUCAUGGAGAGAAAAUUCUGCUGAGCGCAUAAUGUAAAAAUAUGGUUGCUAAUGAGUGGCACUGAGUUAACAGGAAAUAAGGAAGAAAAAUACAAAUUUUGGAAGAAAACAAGCAAUUUCAAAAUGUUUCCAUUCGCUCCGAAUCCAGCUUCAUUGCUUCGAAGGGUAGUUUGGAAAUUCUUCUCAUGAAAGUGCCGUAAAUAUUACCGUAGGCUGUCUAUUUUCUGGCCCAGAAGCGAGGGGUAGAAAUGACAGAUUUCCUCGAACACCUUCUGGGAAAUGUGUGUUGAUGGCACUUCUGAUUUUAAAAUGCUUCAUCCCUUCCUCCAGUGAAAAUACAUCAUAUUCUGCCACAACGCAGGACAGAGUGGCAAACUCCUACUUCUUCAAUUAAGAAAACUAAACCUGUUUGUUCUUUGUGACUGGGUGUGUGUUGUGCGUGGGAUAGAUUUUGAGAGAGUUGCGGGAGCGAUCACAAAAGAACCUUCUUCCUCCCUAUUAGAAAGCCCGACUUUACACCAUUCUUUGGCAUUUUCGAACCACCAAGCACCCGGUUUGAAGCCUACGAAUAAAAUACAAGCCCAGAUGCUGUGUUUACGCUGGCGUGCAUUAACACUUCAUAAGCAGUUCAUUAAACUGAUAACACUUUAAACGGUAACACUGGCUCUUUCAGCCUCUCUCAGCCUGUAAUUGUCCUGAGGCACCAAAUGAACCCUCUCCAGGCUGGGAACCACAGGAAUUUACAUUCUUGACGUGUGUCUCUUAAUUAUGGACACCCUGGGCCCCGGCUGACUCGGAGAGGGCCGGGCUCAAGCCUGCACGCCCCAGUGACUGUGCACACAGGGAAAGACCCUGAGGACCCCUGUGCUGGGGACACUGCCCAGGGAAACAGGCUUUGGGGACUGGUCUAGGCCGCGAGAGCAAGGCUGUCUCCCCCCCAGUUUCCCGAAACACCUCAGCAGGGUUUGGGCGAAGCCUCUCACUAGAAACCAGUUUUCCAAGAACAAAUCUCCCUGUUGAUAAAGGUCUUGUGAACGAAUGUUCGCCACCCUCUUGAGUUUCCUCGCUCACUGCCCCAGCACUCUCUAGGAAUGGGAGAGCCUGGGGCAGCCUGGGGCCCUUCUCCCUGGCAUAAACUUCUAAGCCCCUGGGGACUGUCUUAUCAGAGAGGACGCCCCGGCCGUCUUUAUGUCGGCCUCCCUGCGCACAGUACUCUUUCAGGAACGACGUAAGGGUUAACUGUCCGAUCACCACUGUGUGAGCUCUCUGCAUGCAUUUCACCCAAUUCGACAAUCCAGGGAGGCUCUACCUCUUCGGAAUGGUGACACCGAGGCUUGCCUGGCCACAAAGGGAUGACGAUGUCAGCCCCCUUGACUUGAGCACAGGGUGCUCUACGGAGUAAGCCUUUCCUAACAUCGCCUCCGACGUCCUACCAACUGGUCAGGACCUUAUUAUCCUCUCUUUGCAAAAGAGAAAGGGGAGACAAAGGGGAGGAGGGACUGAAUUGGAACUCAAGUCCACCCGGCUCCCAUGACCCGGUGGAGGCCUCUAUGUGAUGGUCCUCUCUGAGGACACGGGGUGUGUACAGCCACUGAGGGGCUCUCUAAGCCCCGCUCCUGGGGUUUCACCCCGAGGACAGAGAGAACCCGGUCCCUCUCGCCCCUCCUGGCGGGCUAGUGCCGGCGUCCCUGAGUUCCCACGCCUCCCGCUCCACGGAACUGAUGGUAACUGACUGGAUGAGCAACUGAUGGGUAACUGAUGGGUAACUGACCGGCUGCUGAUUAACCUCAGCGAGGUUUCGGCGAGCGCCCUUCCCAGGCCCGGAGGUCUACGGCUGGCUGCUCGCAGGCGGACACCUCACCUUGAGUCCCUUGCCUGGAAUUGAUCCAGAGUCCGCAGCGAGGAUGCUCGGGGACUUGAAGGGCGAUGCGCCGCGGCCGGGCGCACAGCGCCAUCGCGUGGCCAGGUUGGGUAGCGCAGCUGGGACCUCCGACUCCCACCUUCUCCAGGACCAGGAUUAGUUGGGCGAUUCCGGAUGGGGAAGAACCACUUCCUCCUUUUGGGAACCUCCCUGGGUCUCUACCUCUGGGCUCUGGCGGCUGACGUGGCUGUAACAGCAGGAGACGCUAUGGUCAGUCCUGAAGUCUUCAGUGGAGCGACUGGUGGGGCAACGGAUUUCUUCCUCCUGAAAAUAAAGCACAGGUAGCAACGGC